rnacentral:rRNA from 1 species
ACACGUACCCAUCCCGAACACGACCGUUAAGCCCUCUAGCGCCGAUGGUACUUGGACCGAAGGGUCCUGGGAGAGUAGGACGUUGCCAAGC